rnacentral:rRNA from 1 species
AACGAACGCUGGCGGCAUGCCUAACACAUGCAAGUCGAACGAGAUCUCCGGGUCUAGUGGCGCACGGGUGCGUAACGCGUGGGAACCUGCCCUUAGGUUCGGAAUAACCUCCCGAAAGGGGUGCUAAUUCCGGAUAAUGACCUCGGACCAAAUAUUUAUCGCCUUUGGAUGGGCCCGCGUUGGAUUAGCUUGUUGGUAGGGUAAAAGCCUACCAAGGCGACGAUCCAUAGCUGGCCGGGGAGGAUGAUCCGCCACACUGGGACUGAGACACGGCCCAGACUCCGACGGGAAGCAGCAGUGGAGAAUAUUGGACAAUGGGAGAAAGCCUGAUCCAGCAAUGCCGCGUGAAUGAUGAAGGCCUUAGGGUUGUAAAGCGCUGUUGCCCGAGAUGAUAAUGACAGUACCGUGAAAAUAAGGUCCGGCUAACUCCGUG